AUGAAGAAACAUCUGUUCAAGAACAGUUAACGAAAAUUUGAUAAGAAAGACCCUGACUGCUACCCUCAGCAGAUCCUGCACCGUGUGGACCUUCUUGAAAAAACUACUCAGUAAUGAAAUCUGACCAACCUAUGAGGAAUUGAAAUAAAGAACUCAGAAACAGAAAAGCCAUGAGAAAAGGACUGAAGGAAACGUUUCUACGGAAGUAGCAUAUGCCUACGGGAAAGGGCCCACGUCAGAAACGAGGGGCUCGAGGAGUGUCCACAGAGGCCCGGCUCCCUGCCCGCCUCCUGCUUCUGCCAGCAUGUCCCCGGGGUGACCACCCUCCUCAGUCCUCACAAUGCAGAUUCUGCUUUCCGAAGAGCCUGUACCAGACAAGCAAGCUAUCUUC